UCUCUUUUAGCCACCCAGAGAGAGAGAAGAGGAUAAUCCCAGCGACAUCUGUGGCUCUGAGGCUUCCAGAAAUAAUCCGGUGAAAUAAUAUGAUGUUUGUUUGUGUGAAUGCUGUGUGUGCGGUGAGUCCUGCGCGAGCGGGGAGCAGAGUUGCCAUGGAAACGGGGCGUCAACACAAAAACCAUUACUGGCAAACAGUAAUCUCCGUCUCUUGCUGCAGUUUACACUGUUUUAGGAGGACAGAAAGAAACUCUACAGAACAGAAGUGAAGCUCCAAGAUUUCAACAUUUAUGAAGGGAGAUACUGACUUAGAAAUACAGGUGAACUGAAGAAGCUCAUGAAAUACAUGAAUAUGCCUUUUUCAGAAUACAUUUCACCAAUUUUAAGAAGUCCCUGACUUCAUAACCUUGUUUCCUUCUAAUGAACCUGGAACUGCAGAGUAAAUAUUGUUGACUCUGUGUCAGAUUGCUUGUUUUGUUCCUAGACUCUUCAGUGAUGACGAUCAGAGUCUGAGUGAACCUGCUGUCAGACAGGUUGGCCUGAUUGACGAUGCCAUCGUCCAUCGCCGAUGGCUGAUAGACAUCACGAUGCUGCGCUGGCAAACAGCGUCAUCAGCUCCAGUAUCUCGCCCGUGCAUCUGUUGUCAUGCGGAGAAGUCACGUUCUAUAGACAGUUUCUAUAGACAGUUGUGAACGUGCUGACAGCUGGUUGCCCAGGCUAUGGAUUAAAGGUAAUACUGUUGGCCAGCAGAGCCCUGCUCACCCUGACGGCCCACCGCUGCUGUCAGACAACAUCUCCAAGAUGCUAUAAACUCCAGGACUAGAUGUCAAUCCCAAGGUUUCUAGAGAUUACAGCAGCUCCAGACUGAAUCCAAACUCACUUGUGAAGACUUCAGAUGACACCAACGCUCACAAAGACUACAGACAGCGACAACUGUGCAUAAACACACAAAACAUUGGACACACAACCCAGCUAACAAAAAAAGGUCCCCAGGACGUCCCCUAAAUGGCCUCUGCGAACGUCCCCCGGACGUCAGCGUGUAGGGUCCGCUUGACGUCGAGCGGACGUUCGCGAAGACGUCCCGCGGACGUUCAAGGGGACGUUCACAGGACGUGCAGCGGACAUUCGGGACGUUUAGGGGACUUUCACUUUAAAUCCCCUGAAUGUCAUUUUAUUGUACUUUUAAGCUAAUCAAAGACAACAGACACGCUGUAUGAAGCAAAAUAGAUUUAUUUUAAUUGAACAAUGGUAAAGUUGCAGGGCUUUUCGUGUGUGAUUGUGUGUGUGUGUGUUUUGGCGUGUCCGCGUCUCUGGUUGUCAGCUGUGGUUAGUCGAUGGCAUUUCUUUCCAUUGUCUUUUAACCUAAAACAACAAAAUGAACACAUUCAGUAGUGUUAUGACUUUAUAUAUCUAGGACUGUCGUUUAUCCAUUGACAAACGAUUUGUAAAGACUGUUGACAGUUUGGAUUUAGACCAAGCGGUCCGAAAUGUAGCGGACAUGCCUUUUUGCCGCAUAUAGGCGUCUCAGUGUGUAUUUUUACCAUAUGGAAAUUAAAUAUUUAAGUUUAAUAUCUGCCAGUAUUAUAUACGUUUAAUCAUUUCAGCUUUACAAGCUAACGUUAGCUUAGAAAGUGUUCACAUAGCCUAACCUCAGCAGCUGCGUGGGCCAACUUCAGCAAAGGUUUAAAAAGGUAAACUUGAUCAAAUGUAAGCAUUAGGAGAUAAACAGUAGUUAACGUAUCUAUAAUGUCUAAUAAUAUAAAAGAAUAAAUACCUUUUUUGACCAAACAAAAGCGAAAACUCAAAGCCGUGUCUGAGGAAAACACCAGAUGACCGUUAACUGUCAUUAGCGGCUGAGCGUUGCCAUGGAUACAUGCCGCGUGCCCUAAAGUGACGUCAUUCGGUCAUGUGCUCAUUUGAUCGACAGCUGCUUGGAUCCUAUCUCCAGUGUGGCUAUAUUACUUUUUUAUUAGAGCUCCAUGUAGUGUAGCAGUCUUAAAUGCAAUAACUAAAAUAAUUUAUUUCCUAAAUAACUUUUCUUGUCGUCUUACCAACAGUUUAUAUAUACAAUACAAGUUUAUUUAUAUAGCACAAAUAAACAGUUUAAUACGUAAAUGAAAAUAAUUUAUUAAUUUGUCUUACCUGUGUUAUUUUUCACUUUUUUUUCUUCAUGUUUUCCUUGGCAUUCACUCUAUAACAUUCUAGUAGAGCUCCUGGGAUGCAAACAUAUUUUCUUCAUUCAUGCAUAAACCGAAUUGUAGCUCUGUUCAAUUAUAUUAUUGAAAGUUUAUAUCAUCAUGAUUAAGCAUCAUGAUUUUGAUGUUUAAAUACUGAAAACAGACUCCUGAUUUAAUGACAUUUUUCAUUACAGAAGUUACUCCUAUUUUCUUUUUCCAGAAAUGAAAAUUAAUUAAUUUAACAUUAACUUUAUUUUACAAUGUAUUCAAAUCUAUAUAGUAAAAAAAUAUAUAUAUAUCAAUCAGCAAAUCAAAACAUUUUUUUUUUUUUUUUGCAAUCUGUUAUCAUUACAGUUUUGUUUUAGGCAAAAAUACCCUUUAAAAUCCAAUAUGAGUUGAUUUUGUCAACUCUCUUUGUCUGAGUUGCAAGGUGUCAGGUCCAGUGUUGGGAAGGUUACUUUGGAAAUGUUAUAGGUUACAGAUUACAAAUUAAAUUAUUUAAAAUGUAAUAUGUAGUGUCACUGUUUCAAGUGACUUUAAGUAAUGUAACUGAUUACAUUUGAUUACUUUUCUAAAUUUCUAUUGUUUUCAAAUGUUGAUUAUUUUGAAUCAUUUAAAGCAGGCAGGGUUAAUGUUACAGUGGUACUCAACACUGAUUACUCUCAGAUUUUAGAAUCCUUCUUCACUUGAAUUAAGACUAUAAUUUAAUUGUAAAGUACAACCACCUCAAAAUAGGACUUUAGCAGCUCUUUUUACUUUGCAAUAUUUUUUAGGUUAAAUACAGAUUUAAAAUCAUAAGAUAUAGUUUAAUAGCUAUGAUACUGUUUUUGAAAUCAAAUCUUUGCAUAGCUAUGACAGGAAACAUUGGCAUCUAACAAUGCUUUGGAAAAAAAGGCAGUUAAUCUAAAAAUAAAAUUAAAUAAAUAAAUAAUUUACAUAAACCAAAAUAGGAAAUAAAACAGUUAUGGAAUAAGCAUGUGUCAUAUUCUGUGUCUUCAACUCCAGAAACAUUGGUGUCUCAUAUUUUAAAUAUGUAUGUGUGAAAAUAUUCAAAUGUAACUCCCUUUGUAAUCAUUAACAAUAUCAUAAUUAACUGUGAUUUAAUUACAUUUUACAUUACAUUAACAAAUUGCUACAUUUAUUUUGCAAUAGUUACAUGUAACUAGUUACUGCCCAGCACUGGUCAGGUCUGAUGAUAAAAGAUAAAGGACUGCAUUUUUCAAGUGUUGGAAUGGAAAUGGCAGAUGAGGGACGAAACAGGGACGUUCAAACUGUCUCAGACGAAUGUCCUCCGAACGUCCGCCAGCGGACCAAAUCCGGACGUCCUCCGAACGUCAAAAGGGGACCAAAUCCGGACGUCCUCAGAACGUCCGCUGAACGUCCGCCAGCGAACGUCAAACGCGGACCAAAUCCGGACGUCCUCCGAACGUCCGCCGAACGUCCGCCAGCGAACGUCAAAAGGGGACCAAAUCCGGACGUCCUCAGAACGUCCGCUGAACGUCCGCCAGCGAACGUCAAAAGCGGACCAAAUCCGGACGUCCCCCGAACGUCCGCCGAACGUCCGCCAGCGAACGUUAUAAAUCGGACGUACUGCGGACCUAAGCGGACGUUCAGAACGUCCGGGGGACGUCCCCUGUUUGCUGGGAAAACAAAUAUUAUCCUUAUUUUGCCUAUAAGGGUAAAUUUGAUGAUUUUCAAACUGCUUUAUUGUAACGUCUCUUAUAUCUGUAAAUGAACAAUAUUUACUCUCUGAGUUAUGUGGACCUACAUGUCCCCUUUUAUUUGUAAGCAUCACUUUAAAAAUUUUGAAAGAUAAUGUUAAUGUUAACUGAAUACAAAACUAGAGACUUGUUUAGUAAGAUUUUAUCAGAAAAUAUUUUUGAACUUUUAUCAUGCAAUUUAAAACAUUUUAAUUGCUCAAUUAGGAAACACUUUAGAAUAAGGUUCCAUUAGUUAAUGUUAGUUAAUGUAUAAAUUAACAUGAACAAACAAUGAAUAAUACAUUUAUUACUGUAUUUAUUCACCUUCGUUAAUGUUAGUUAAUGAAAAUACAGUUAUUCAUUGUUAGUUCAUGGUAAUUCAUGGUAAUUCACAUUAACUAAUGUUAACAAGCACAACUUUUGAUUUAAAUAAUGCAUUAGUAAAUGUUGAAAUUAACAUGAACUAAGACUUAUAAAUGCUGUAGAAGGAUUGUUCUUGCUUAGUUCAUGUUAACGAAAGUAGUUAACUAACAUUAACUAAUGGAACCUUAUUCUAAAGUGUUACCCUUAAUUAUUGUUUACCUGGUUUUAUUUUGUGUUUAUGUAACUUUUUAAAAAGUUCUUGGCAUGCGAUGCUGACAGCACUGAACACAUGACUUUUUAUUAUGAACUAUGGUCUUCCCAGUGAGUCUCAGUCAUCUCUGGCUUUUUAAACUGUAACCUUGAAACAUGCAUUUCCUGUAAACCUACUUUGAAAUAAGUAUUGUCAAAAGGUGCUAUACUCAUACAACAUUUAACCAUGCAAGUACUGUAGUAAUGGUUAUUUUUGUUUUUACUAUGGUUUUACUGCAAAAGCUGUAGUAAAAUCAUGGUUAAUGUUCAAAAGACUACAAAUAAUCCCGAAUUAUCCACUUUUGAUCAAAGCAUCUGGUAAAUGUUAUUGUAUUUGUACAUGUAAUAUGAAAUAAAUGAAAAUAUUAAUAAAGUUGCGUCUGUUCUUGA